GAAAGCAACCUUCCUGUUUGUUUUAGCUCUAUUUGCAUUUCCACCUGCACUGAUGGACUGAUCUUUGCCAGCUGUGUGUUUCACAUCUGUAAAUUGUUCAAAUACAAGCUGCCUUCUGUGAGUGUCACUCUAGAUUUGCAUGAAAGGUGCCCACGUUUACAACAUUUAUCAGCCACUCUGCAGUGAUCUGCGUGCAGAGCGACAGAGACUUACCAGCUACAAUGAAGACACUGGUCUUGUGGGCUGUGGUGCUUGCUGUUUUCCUCAUACCAGAAUCCAGUUGUAUUAUUACUGUAACUCAGACCCCUUCCACUGUGUCUGCCCUCUAUGGAGACGUUGUCUCUUUCAAAUGUCAAACCAAUGAUUCCAUUUAUGACUCUAAAUGGAAAGUUGAUGUGAUGCGCUGGUACAGGGUGAAUCCUGGAGAAACUCCCCAAAAGGUGAUUCAUGAUGCCAUUUACACACCCACUGGAAUCCCAGAACGUUUCAAAGGCAGCGGGACAGGGACAAACUUCACACUGACCAUUAAUGGAGUCCAGCCUGAGGAUGCAGGAUUUUACUUCUGUCACCAGGGCUUGCACAGCCCAUUCACACAGUUGUAAAGAGCCAUACAAAAACCUAUUUGUCUCGUAAGCAGAAAUGUCUUUGGAUGCCCCUUGAAUUAUGAGAUACUGAGCAGAUGCUUGUUCCAAAUGAGCGACUGAGGGGGGGUGGAUUAAGUCCUCACACUAGAACAAUUAUUCUUUGUCAUGUUUUUGUAUUUUUUAGCCUAGAAGCUCACUUUCCUGUUAUACGAGGAGGAGUCAAGCUAAAGUUAUAAAAUAUGAUUUAUUAGAAAAUGGAAUGAACCUUCACAAAACUGAUCAUGUCAUUUCUAAAUGUAGUCUUCACCCUUCUCAAUGUACUUGCACCACCUGCCUGGAUUCCAGCAGAAUAAAAGGUUUUGUCUUGUCCUCGCCACCACUCGUACACACGAGUUGUUGAUGAACACUACAUGCCGAGGGGUACUAAAGUCACUAGGGCAAGUUACUGUGACUUGCUGGAGACCAAUGUGAAGCCUGCUAUUCGAUCCAAAAGUCCAUUUGCUGCAAGGUAAUGACACACUGCUAAGAACACCAAGGCGUGUCUGGAGAAACUGAAGUUUGAGUUAUUGCCACAUCCUCCUUAUUUGCCAGAUUUGGCACCGUGUGAUUUCCACCUUUUUGGACCACUAAAAAAACAUCUGGGUGGUCGUUGAUUCAAGACAGAUGAUGACGUGAAGAAAGUGGUGCACGAGUGGCUGUGAGGAAGAGACAAAACCUUUUAUUCUGCCGGAAUCCAGGCAGGUGGCACAAGUGCAUUGAGAAGGGUGGAGACUACAUUGAGGAAUGACAUGAUCAGUUUCGUGAAGGUUCAUUGCAUUUUCUAAUAAAUCUUAUUUUCUAACUAUAGUUUGACUCCCCCUACUAUUUUUGAAUGCCUUAUUUAAAAUUCAGCAAUGUCAGAAAAGUAAAUAAAAUGGGCACAAUAAAGUCUGAAGUGUUCACUUUUUAA